CACGUGAGCAACCUGCCUUAGUGUGGGGGAUAGCCGGCCCAACGGCCGGGUAAUACCGCAUACGAUUCUGAAGAGGAGUCUCUUUGGAAGGAAACCUCCGGGGCACUAAGAGGGGCUCGCGGCCUAUCAGCUAGUUGGCGAGGUAACGGCUCACCAAGGCGACGAUCGGUAGCUGGUCUCAGAGGAUGAUCAGCCAGACUGGGACUGAGACACGGCCCAG
rnacentral:rRNA from 1 species